rnacentral:rRNA from 1 species
CAAGGAAUAUUGGACAAUGGGCGCAAGCCUGAUCCAGCAACGCCGCGUGGAGGAAGAAGGCUUCGGUUGUAAACUCCUUUUGUGAGGGAUGAGACAAGGACAGUACCUCACGAAUAAGUCACGGCUAACUAGGUG